rnacentral:lncRNA from 1 species
UCACGGACUGAAUAGUGGAGGUUGAACCUGGCAUAUAACUCCAGGGGCUUGUCAGCUCACAGGACUGAAUAGUGGAGGUUGAACCUGGCAUAUAACUCCAGGGCUUGUCAGCUCACAGGACUGAAUAGUGGAGGUUGAACCUGGCAUAUAACUCCAGGGGCUUGUCGCUCACAGGACUGAAUAGUGGAGGUUGAACCUGGCAUAUAACUCCAGGGGCUUGUCAGCUCACAGGACUGAAUAGUGGAGGUUGAACCUGGAAUAUAACUCCAGGGGCUUGUCAGCUCACAGGACUGAAUAGUGGAGGUUGAACCUGGUAUAUAACUCCAGGGGCUUGUCAGCUCACAGGACUGAAUAGCGGAGGUUGAACCUGGAAUAUAACUCCAGGGGCUUGUCAGCUCACAGGACUGAAUAGUGGAGGUUGAACCAAGAAUAUAACUCCAGGGGCUUGUCAGCAUAGGACUGAAUAGUGGAGGUUGAACCAAGAAUAUAUCUCCAGGGGCUUGUCAGCAUAGGACUGAAUAGUGGAGGUUGAACCUGGCAUAUAACUCCAGGGGCUUGUCAGCUCCAGGGACUGAAUAGUGGAGGUUGAACCUGG